UACAGAGGGGGCAAGCGUUGUUCGGAAUUACUGGGCGUAAAGGGCGCGUAGGCGGCCUGCUAAGUCGAACGUGAAAUCCCCGGGCUCAACCCGGGAACUGCGUCCGAUACUGGCAGGCUUGAAUCCGGGAGAGGGAUGCGGAAUUCCAGGUGUAGCGGUGAAAUUCGUAGAUAUUGGGUAGAACACCGGUGGCGAAGGCGGCCACCUGGUUCGCAACUGACGCUGAGGCGCGAAAGCGUGGGGAGCAAACAGG
rnacentral:rRNA from 1 species